rnacentral:rRNA from 1 species
UGGGGAAUAUUGCACAAUGGGCGCAAGCCUGAUGCAGCCAUGCCGCGUGUGUGAAGAAGGCCUUCGGGUUGUAAAGCACUUUCAGCGAGGAGGAAGGUGGUGGACUUAAUACGUUCAUCAAUUGACGUUACUCGCAGAAGAAGCACCGGCUAACUCCGUGCCAGCAGCCGCGGUAAUACGGAGGGUGCAAGCGUUAAUCGGAAUUACUGGGCGUAAAGCGCACGCAGGCGGUUUGUUAAGUCAGAUGUGAAAUCCCCGGGCUCAACCUGGGAACUGCAUUUGAAACUGGCAAGCUAGAGUCUCGUAGAGGGGGGUAGAAUUCCAGGUGUAGCGGUGAAAUGCGUAGAGAUCUGGAGGAAUACCGGUGGCGAAGGCGGCCCCCUGGACGAAGACUGACGCUCAGGUGCGAAAGCGUGGGGAGCAAAACAGGAUUAGAUACCCUGGUAGUCCACGCUGUAAACGAUGUCGAUUUUGGAGGUUGUGCCCUUGAGGCGUGGCUUCCGGAGCUAA